AACGUAGGUUCCGAGCGUUAUCCGGAUUUACUGGGCGUAAAGCGCGUUCAGGCGGUUUGGCAAGUCGGGCAUGAAAUCUCUCGGCUCAACCGGGAGAGGUUGUCCGAUACUGCUGGACUUGAGGGCAGUAGAGGGUGGUGGAAUUCCGGGUGUAGUGGUGAAAUGUGUAGAUAUCCGGAGGAACACCAGUGGCGAAAGCGGCCACCUGGACUGCACCUGACGCUGACACGCGAAAGCUAGGGGAGCGAACGGG
rnacentral:rRNA from 1 species